rnacentral:lncRNA from 10 species
CAGAUGAAGAAAGAUGCUUGGUUACCAACUGUAUUAGGGUUGUCUUGAGAAUCAGAACCAGUGAGAGAGAUUUAUUGUGAUAAUUGGCUCAUGUAAUUAUGGAGGUGAGAAGUCCCAUGACCUGUCAUCUGCAACCUAGAGAACCCAAUAGAAUUCAGUCUAAGUCCAAAGUUCUAAGAACCAGGGAAGCUGACUGUGUAACUCCUAGUUGAGUGUGAAGACCUGAGGUAUCAGGGGUAGGGGUUGCUCUGCUUGUGUAAGUCCCAUAGUGUGAAGGCCAGAGAACCAAGAGAUGGUCAAGAAGAGAGAGUAAGUGUCCAAUGUCCCAGCUCAAGAAGAGAGAAAACUUUUGUGGAUAGCUAAGUUACUGCUAGCCAUCUGAUUAUAGCAAUGGCUUCCAGGAGCAUCACGACCUGUGCAGACUCCCCAGCAUCAUAACAGGAAGGUCCCACGAUCACGAGCACAUUGCCUUCAGCAUCCAGCACUGAAUAUGGUGAAUUGCACUCUGAAGAGCUUCCUAAGCUUGUAAGAAAGUGAUUCUGAAAAGCUCAACAUUUUGGUAGAAUGGAGAGAUUUGACAUUGCUUCUGCUCCAAAAGCAAAAGACUUGGGCCUGGCGUAAAGGAGAUGGGACUCACACCCAAGAGGAUGCAUUUCCAUACACCCAUUUCUGAAAUAUGAAGAGGUGUCCAGUCUGUUUGAUUCAUAGCUGCCUGUUCCACAACUGCAGAUACAGUAAUUGAUAACCGAGACCAAGUUCUCAUCCCCAUCUCCCAGGGCUGGAACUGGGGCUGUGUUUGGUUCUCAUAAGAUCAGUUCCAGUUUUAGAAACUGAGUAAAUUGUGGAGUAAAUAUUGCCAAGUGAUGGCUUUCUGCUGUAGGCGUGGGUCGCUGUUGGCCAUUUGCCUCAGCAUAUCACCAGCAAUGCACCUCAUUGCAUCACUGCAUUUCCAAUUACACCUCAAAGCACCACUGGUCCCCUGUCCACCCUCUGCCCUGCAGAGGUGGGUGUUCAGGGAGACAGAUCCAAAAUCUGGGCUCAGAAGAUGGAAAUGCCAACUGCUCUCAAUUUGAGAGUGGGGAUGAGACUUUUUGACUCAACUCUGGUUAAUUCAGCCAUGCUGUCAGAGCUGCUUUGAUGCAAGGACAUCUGAAUGCUAUCUGAAUGCUGCCCCUAAAAUAACAAAUUAAA